GCAUCGUGUUUGUUGUUCAAACAGCAAAAUGUGCACUGAACAAACUGACAAAAUUGAAGCUCAAGAAUACCGAGUCAGCUUUUUAAUUGAUACAAGCCAUCUGGGAAUGUGAAGAAAGUAAAGUGGCCUUUUAAAAUGCUGCCAUUCCUUAUCCCAGUUCCUUGCAGUUUGCUAGCACUAUGUCUGGCCAUGCUGUCAACAGGUAUUUGCCUUUAAGGUGUCAAUUCACCAUAGUGACUAUCUGCAGUGAAGUCCUUCUGAACUUCGUAACUUAGCAACAUGGUCUGAUUCAUUUCACAUGACACUGACUGGGAAAAAGUCCCACUGGCUCUCUGCAAUGAGUGAUUCUGUGAGGCUCUAGCCAGCAGAUGGAAGUAGGUGGGGCUCUUGCAGUGUCCACAUGUUGUCCACCUGUCUCUACUCUGAUCCCACCGUGCAUGACCUGCGUGACUGCUCUGACACCAGUUCUGUACUGUUUCAUCGGGGAGCUAUUAGUAGUCUCUGAGUGCCAGAAAGACAGCAUGUUGAAAUGUAGAAAGAUGAUCUUUGGUCCUUGAAGUCGUUCAAGAGAGAGAGAUGAGAAGAUGGGAAAGGAAGGAGCCUUCCUAUUAUUGAUUUAUGAAUCAUGUUAAUAAAAUAUAAAAACUAUCAGGAUCUUAUAUCAUGCAAGACAGCUGUAGUAUCCACUACAUGGUCUGUCAAUCCAUCACUGUUCUCUUCACCACAUGGAGAGGCUUUUAGAAAUGAAUAAUACUUUCUCUGCAUCACUCCGUCAAGAUAUAAUAGCU